GGGGGAGCUGAGACAUGACCCUGUAGGAUUUUUCUUCCUGCCCAUAUGCUUUGAAGCUGGACCAUUAGCUCUAAGGCAUGCAUCUCAUCUGUUCGCAGUGAUUCAACCUGCUUCUUGGGAAAAAAAGAGCCUAGGGUCUUCCUGCAAACUGUGUGUUGGUGGGCCGGCAUCAAGAGCCCUUGACUACAGG